rnacentral:rRNA from 1 species
GACGAACGCUGGCGGCGUGCCUAAUACAUGCAAGUCGAGCGGAUCACUGGGAGCUUGCUCCCGGUGGUCAGCGGCGGACGGGUGAGUAACACGUGGGCGACCUGCCUGUAAGACUGGGAUAACACCGGGAAACCGGUGCUAAUACCGGAUAAUCCUUUUCCUCUCAUGAGGAAAAGCUGAAAGUCGGUUUCGGCUGACACUUACAGAUGGGCCCGCGGCGCAUUAGCGAGUUGGUGAGGUAACGGCUCACCAAGGCGACGACGCGUAGCCGACCUGAGAGGGUGAUCGGCCACACUGGGACUGAGACACGGCCCAGACUCCUACGGGAGGCAGCAGUAGGGAAUCUUCCACAAUGGACGAAAGUCUGAUGGAGCAACGCCGCGUGAGCGAUGAAGGCCUUCGGGUCGUAAAGCUCUGUCGUUAGGGAAGAACAAGUACCGGAAUAACUGCCGGUACCUUGACGGUACCUAACCAGAAAGCCACGGCUAACUACGUGCCAGCCGCCGCGGUAAUAC